UACAGAGGGGGCAAGCGUUAUUCGGAAUUAUUGGGCGUAAAGGGCGCGUAGGCGGCUUGGCAAGUGGAAGGUGAAAUCCCUCGGCUUAACCGAGGAACUGCCCUCCAAACUGCUUGGCUUGAGACCGGGAGAGGUGAGUGGAAUUCCCAGUGUAGCGGUGAAAUGCGUAGAUAGUUGGGAGGAACACCAGUGGCGAAGGCGGCUCACUGGACCGGUACUGACGCUGAUGCGCGAAAGCGUGGGAGCAACGGG
rnacentral:rRNA from 1 species